UACUGUAGUCCGGUGCUGUCAGUUGAGGUAACUUGUUUUGAACCUGGAAUAUUUCUAUGUCUUUCAAAAAUUACACACGUGGUCAACAACUUGACAAGGACACCCCAUGUAACAUUGUUUUCUGUUAGCCUGUUCUUCCAGCCAUUCUCCCCGAGACCUUCAAAGGUGCGCUCAUACAGCAAAAAAUGUUAAAAACUUCUCACCCAGUUUCGUGUCCUCCGAUGUUUGAAGAUCGUCUCCAGAUUCCAAGAUAUUCGUCUUAUGUUGCAAACAAUCUACAAAGCACGUGGGACUGUGAAAAUGAUAUUUCCAGUGUUGUUAAUGGGCUUUUUUAGUUGUUGCUGUGUUUGGAGCAAUUCCUUUUGAAAAAUACAUCAACUCCAACAUUGACGGUCUGCUCUGCAAGGAUGAUUUCAAAGAUUUACCCAGUGCAUUCAUCACACUCUUCAGUAUUUUUACCUUGGAGCACUGGUUUGAUUUACUUUAAGACAUUCAGAGAGUUCCAGAGCUAAACUGGAUUAUUCAUUAUGGUGUGGUUUGCAUUUGGAGCCUUGAUGACCUGUAUUUUUAUGGCCCUUAUAAUUGAUGACUUUCAGGAAAUGCGUUCCAAUCUUUCCAAAGAGGUGCCAGCAAUUGAAAACCCUAUGCAGAGCAGAGAUUUUCAAAGCAAGUAAUAUGGAGUAGGGCAAUAAGCCAGACAAACCAACUGAAGGACCACAAACCUGUCAAAGAUGAGGAAGAACAUGAAAGUCCAAAUUUUCGUUUGGAAACAUGAAACCAUACCUCGAAACAUGAGCUAGAGUGGGACAUGGGUCUGGAUGCGUUUAUUCAGGCGGAUGAGUUUCAGGAUGACUGUGAGACAGAGUGCUGGCGUGAGGACAAUCUCUGCAGGUACUUUGAGCUGAUGGAAAAGCUCCAGUGCAACCUAGAGGAGAUGAACCAGCUUCAGGAUAUAUUAGGUGGGAAUGAACGCCAAGCGUUUUCAUGAUCAGUGAUUGCAACUGCAACAUUACAUUUGAUCCAGUCUGGAUAGAGUAUUUUCAUUCAAACAUACAAUGCUGCAGUGCAAAAUAUUUUCCUCUUUAAUGGAAUUUUACCUAAUCAUAAUUUAAUUCAUUAUAAAAAAAAAAAACACCAAUUACUUUUUAUCUGUUGUGACACAGUUCAGGGUUUCCUUAACCUGCACGACUGCUCAGAAAAAUAAUAAGAAUGCAUCAGCAAACCUGCUCUAUGAAUUCUGUUCUUCGUCACGAACACUGGAUUGGUUAGACAAUGAAAGAUGUGUU